GUUUAGCCGAUGGAAGUUUGAGUCAAUAACAGGUCUGUGAUGCCCUUUAGAUGUUCUGGGCUGCACGCGCGCUACACUGAUGCAAUCAACAAGUCUAUCACCUUGGCCGACAGGUCUGGGUAAACUUUUGAAAUUGCAUCGUGCUGGGGAUCGAUGAUUGUAAUUAUUCAUCGUCAACGAGGAAUACCUAGUAAGCGCAAGUCAUCAGC
rnacentral:rRNA from 1 species